UAAGCGGGUUUGCGACUACCGUAGUCACUAACCUUCAUCUACUAUUUCACCCCCAAACCCUAUUUUCCCAAUUUCCUCUUUCUCUCUCACUCUCUCUGCUCGACCGAUAACCCCUCUCUCUGCUCGACCGAUCCCUAUUUCCCCAAAUUUUUUAAGGAAGCCUAUCAGCAACUUUUUGAGGAAUGGCGUCAAAGUCAACCCGAUUCCGAGAAUGGUAGGUCAACCCAAGUAUCACUCAAUGAUGUAGCUUCAAUAUGGUCGCAGAUGGUUGGUGGCGCAAAUAAAGGUAGAACCUAAGGUCUUGGAUCACAAUAUUCCGUAGGUCGUUCUACGACAUUGUUGUCUGGUGAUGCAAGUUAUUCGCAAGAUCACGAAGAGAUGGAAGUAUUAUGAAAAUAAGUUAAAGAGUUGGAGUAACGGAAAGAAGAUCACGCAAAUUUUAACAAAUUGUAGAGUCUAGUGGAGAAAUUUAUGAGCGGACGUCCAUUUGGUCCUUUGAAUGGCGAGGAUGGUGGGGAUAAUGAGUUUUAAUUUAUUAUGGUUAUGAUGUUUGAGACAUUAUUAUUUGUUGUAGUUGGAUGUUUAGACUUGGUAAUAUUUACACUUGACUAUGAUUGUAAUGUUUUAGACUAGAUUGAAUGGUGCUAGAAUGUUUAACUCUUUUUGGAUCUUUUAGUUACAAAUAUUUAUGUUUUGCAUUUUAUGGA